rnacentral:lncRNA from 1 species
AAAAAGGGUGAGUUGACUUUGGUCAAAGUUGACCAAAAAGUCAAAUGUUGACCAAAGUCAACACUUAGUCAAAGAUGUCAAAAUUUGUGUUUUUUUUUGUAAUGGACAUUUUAUGGAUGGUAAUGGAUACAAAUGUUGACCAAAGUCAACACUUAGUCAAAGAUGUCAAAAUUUGUGUUUUUUUUUGUAAUGGACAUUUUAUGGAUGGUAAUGGAUGAAUUUAGGGCAUUAGGGAUUUGGGUUGACUUUGGUCAAAGUUGAC